rnacentral:rRNA from 1 species
AACGUUUCGAAAGGAACGCUAAUACCGCAUACGUCCUACGGGAGAAAGCAGGGACCUUCGGGCCUUGCGCUAUCAGAUGAGCCUAGGUCGGAUUAGCUAGUUGGUGAGGUAAUGGCUCACCAAGGCGACGAUCCGUAACUGGUCUGAGAGGAUGAUCAGUCACACUGGAACUGAGACACGGUCCAGACUCCUACGGGAGGCAGCAGUA